rnacentral:rRNA from 1 species
AAUGAACGCUGGCGGCAGGCCUAAAACAUGCAAGUCGAACGCCCUAGCAAUAGGGAGUGGCGCACGGGUGAGUAACAUGUGGGAAUAUGCCUUUUGGUACGGAACAACGUUUGGAAACGAACGCUAAUACCGUAUGGUCCCUCCGGGGUAAAGAUUUAUCGCCAAAAGAUUAGCCCGCACUAGAUUAGCUAGUUGGUAAGGUAAUGGCUUACCAAGGCGACGAUCUAUAGCUGUUCUGAGAGGAAGAUCAGCCACACUGGGACUGAGACACGGCCCAAACUCCUACGGGAGGCAGCAGUGGGGAAUAUUGGACAAUGGGCGCAAGCCUGAUCCAGCCAUGCCGCGUGAGUGAUGAAGGCCCUAGGGUUGUAAAGCUCUUUCACCGGAGAAGAUAAUGACGGUAUCCGGAGAAGAAGCCCCGGCUAACUUCGUGCCAGCAGCCGCCGCAGUAA